rnacentral:ncRNA from 2 species
GGAACACGGUGCGAAUCCGUGGCGGUCCCGCCGCUGUGAUCGGGGAUGAAAGGCAGCCUGGAUCCGCCGAAAGCGCGGAUCGGUCACUUUCGGGGCCCACCUCGAGGGGAAGGCCGUUGCCUUUCAGUUGAUCCGAGAGCCAGAAGAC